GUUGAUUUGUAAUCAUCAGGCCGGGGGUUCGAAUCCUCCAGCCGGCACCA
rnacentral:tRNA from 1 species